GACGAACGCUGGCGGCGUGCCUAAUACAUGCAAGUCGAACGCAGUGGGGACGGGUGAGUAACACGUGGGUGACCGCCCAUCAGAGGGGGUAACACUUGGAAACAGGUGCUAAACCGAUACUGAUGGAUGGAGCCGCGGUGCAUUAGCUUGUUGGUGAGGUAGCGGCCCACCAAGGCGACGAUGCAUAGCUGACCUGAGAGGGUGAUCGGCCACACUGGGACUGAGACACGGCCCAGACUCCUACGGGAGGCAGCAGUGGGGAAUCUUCGGCAAUGGACGAAAGUCUGACCCAGCAAGGCCGCGUGAGUGAAGAAGGUUUUCGGAUCGUAAAGUACUGUCGUUAGAGAAGCGUUACCUAACCAGAAAGCCACGGCUAACUACGUGCCAGCCGCCGCGGUAAUUC
rnacentral:rRNA from 1 species